UAGUUUUUCUAAUUAAAACAUUUUCUGUUAUUUGAUUGAUCUUUAAAUUUCAUUCUAGGUUUAUGAGGAAGCUGGUUCUGAUUUUCAUCAAGUUGCCUAUUUUAAAACAAGGAUUGGAUUAAGGAAUGCCCUUCAAGAAGAAAUCAGUGGUUCUUCACAUAGAGAAGCUGUGCUUAUUACCUUGAAUAGGUCAAUUGUUUACCCACAACCUGUGGCCUUUGACAGAGCUGUGCUAUUUUGGCUGAAUUAUAAGGCUGCCUAUGACAAUUGGAAUGAACAACAAAUGGCUUUACAUAAGGAUAUUCAUAUGUCAACAAAGGAAGUAGUAGAUAUGCUACCUGGUAUCCAGCAAACAUCAGCCCAGGCCUUUGGGACUCUCUUCCACCAGCUGACUGUGAAUGAUCUGGGAAUUUGCCUCCCUAUCACAAAUACUGCACAGUCUAAUCACACUGGAGACCUUGACACUGGUUCUGCUUUGGUAUUGACCAUUGAAAAUACUCUCAUCAUUGCUUAUUCUUCGGAGUCUCUGGUUAGCAAAGGACAUUUCAAAAACUUUUGUAUCCAUUUUGCUGAUGGCUUUGAGACAUCAUGGGAUGACUGGAAAUCUGAAAUUCGUGGAGAUCUUGUGACAAAUGCCUGA
rnacentral:lncRNA from 1 species